AGCGAACGCUGGCGGCAGGCCUAACACAUGCAAGUCGAACGAUCCUUCGGGAUAGUGGCGGACGGGUGAGUAACACGUGGGAACGUGCCCUUUGGUUCGGAACAACUCAGGGAAACUUGAGCUAAUACCGAAUGUGCCCUUCGGGGGAAAGAUUUAUCGCCAUUGGAGCGGCCCGCGUCUGAUUAGCUAGUUGGUGAGGUAAUGGCUCACCAUGGCGACGAUCAGUAGCUGGUCUGAGAGGAUGAUCAGCCACACUGGGACUGAGACACGGCCCAGACUCCUACGGGAGGCAGCAGUGGGGAAUCUUGCGCAAUGGGCGAAAGCCUGACGCAGCCAUGCCGCGUGAAUGAUGAAGGUCUUAGGAUUGUAAAAUUCUUUCACCGGGGACGAUAAUGACGGUACCCGGAGAAGGAGCUCCGGCUAACUUCGUGCCAGCCGCCGCCGUAACAC
rnacentral:rRNA from 1 species